AUGCAAGUCGAACGGAUGACAAGGAGCUUGCUCCUUGAAGUCAGUGGCGCACGAGUGAGUAACGCGUGGGAAACUGCCCUUCACUGGGGAAUAACGUUUGGAAACGAACGCUAAUACCGCAUACGCCCGCAAGGGGAAAGAUUUAUCGGUGAUGGAUGUGCCCGCGUUGGAUUAGCUAGUUGGUGGGGUAAUGGCCUACCAAGGCGAUGAUCCAUAGCUGGUCUGAGAGGACGAUCAGCCACGCUGGAACUGAGACACGGUCCAGACUCCUACGGGAGGCAGCAGCUAAGAAUAUUGGGCAAUGGAGGAAACUCUGACCCAGCCAAUGCCGCGUGAAUGAAGAAGGCCUUCGGGUUGUAAAGUUCUUUUAGUCAUGAAGAUGAUGACAGUAGUGACAGAAAAAGCACCGGCUAACUUCGUGCCAGCAGCUGC
rnacentral:rRNA from 1 species